rnacentral:lncRNA from 1 species
UUACUGCUAAGUGGUUUACAGAGCCAAAACCAUUCUCAGCGAAGUGCCCAAGGAGCUGGGAGGGAACAGAAUUAGAACAGCUGACUUUCACUGGUUAGAGGGAUAUCUCAUACCAUAUGACAUCCAGCAGAAGGAGUUUUGAAGGAGGUAGGAGUUCAUCUCUCUCUUCUGCUGCUCGGGAGGCUAGCUGGGAAUCAAUCGGUGAGCUGUUGGUCCAAUGGACACUCACAUAGGAACAGAAAGAAGACUAUAUGCAAGUUUCUCAGGACCUAUGGAACAAAUAAGAGGUUGCAGGUGGAAGUUUCCUGGAUUGCAUCAUUACCAGUGAUGACAUGUGGUGUCACCCCUAAGAGCUGGAGUCAAAACAGUAGUCCAUGAAGUGCCAGCACGUGAAUUCCCAUCAAGAAAAAAAGUACAAGAGUCAACCUCAGCAGGUCCCUCUGGAUGGCUUCCCUUCC